AGAGUUUGAUCAUGGCUCAGGACGAACGCUGGCGGCAGGCCUAACACAUGCAAGUUGAACGCACCUUCGGGUGAGUGGCGCACGGGUGAGUAACGCGUGGGAAUCUACCCAGUAGUAUGGAAUAGCUCUUGGAAACGAGAAUUAAUACCGUAUAAGCCCUUCGGGGGAAAGAUUUAUCGCUAUUGGAUGAGCCCGCGUUAGAUUAGUUUGUUGGUGGGGUAAAGGCCUACCAAGACUACGAUCUAUAGCUGGUCUGAGAGGACGAUCAGCCACACUGGAACUGAGACACGGUCCAGACUCCUACGGGAGGCAGCAGUGGGGAAUAUUGGACAAUGGGCGAAAGCCUGAUCCAGCCAUGCCGCGUGAGUGAAGAAGGCCUUAGGGUUGUAAAGCUCUUUCAGAUGCGAAGAUAAUGACGGUAACAUCAGAAGAAGCCCCGGCUAACUUCGUGCCAGCAGCCGCGGUAAUACGAAGGGGGCAAGCGUUGUUCGGAAUCACUGGGCGUAAAGCGUGCGUAGGCGGACCAGCCAGUCAGGGGUGAAAUCCCGGAGCUCAACUCCGGAACUGCCUCUGAUACUGUUGGUCUAGAGACCGAGAGAGGAUAGCGGAAUUCCCAGUGUAGAGGUGAAAUUCGUAGAUAUUGGGAGGAACACCAGUGGCGUAGGCGGCUAUCUGGCUCGGUACUGACGCUCAGGCACGAAAGCGUGGGGAGCAAACAGGAUUAGAUACCCUGGUAGUCCACGCCGUAAACGAUGAGUGCUAGAUGUCGGGGUCUUAGACUUCGGUGUCGCAGCUAACGCAUUAAGCACUCCGCCUGGGGAGUACGGCCGCAAGGUUAAAACUCAAAGGAAUUGACGGGGACCCGCACAAGCGGUGGAGCAUGUGGUUUAAUUCGAGGCAACGCGAAGAACCUUACCAGGCCUUGACAUCCCGAUCGCGGGACACAGAGACGUGUCCUUUCAGUUUGGCUGGAUCGGUGACAGGUGCUGCAUGGCUGUCGUCAGCUCGUGUCGUGAGGUGUUGGGUUAAGUCCCGCAACGAGCGCAACCCUCGCCCUUAGUUGCUAACGGUUCGGCCGAGAACUCUAAGGGAACUGCCGGUGAUAAGCCGGAGGAAGGUGGGGAUGACGUCAAGUCUUCAUGGCCCUUACGGCCUGGGCUACACACGUGCUACAAUGGCAGUGACAGUGGGCUGCAAUCCCGCAAGGGGGAGCAAAUCUCCAAAAACUGUCUCAGUUCGGAUUGUUCUCUGCAACUCGAGAGCAUGAAGUCGGAAUCGCUAGUAAUCGUAGAUCAGCAUGCUACGGUGAAUACGUUCCCGGGUCUUGUACACACCGCCCGUCACACCAUGGGAGUUGGUUCUACCCGAAGCCGGUGAGCUAAUCAGGCAGCCGUCCACGGUAGGAUCAGCGACUGGGGUGAAGUCGUAACAAGGUA
rnacentral:rRNA from 1 species